rnacentral:lncRNA from 1 species
GGCAACCCGUUGGGGUCCCCUUCCAGUCUGUGGAAACUUUGUUCUCUGCAAUAAAUCUUGCCGCUGCUCGCUCUUUGGGUCCACAUUGCUUUUUUGAGCUGUAACACUCAUCGCGGAGGUCUGCAGCUUCACUCCUGAAGCCAGCGAGACCACGAGCCCACCGGGAGGAACCAACAACUCCAGACAGGCUGCCUUAAGAGCUGUAACACUCACCGCAAAGGUCUGCAGCUUCACUCCUGAGCCAGCGAGACCACGAACCCACCAGGAGGAAUAAACUCCAAACACAUCCGAACGUCAGAAGGAACGAACUCCAGACGCGCCACCUUAAGAGCUGUAACACUCACCCGGAGGGUCCGCGGUUUCAUUCUUGAAGUCAGUGAGACCAAGAACCCACCAAUUCUGGACACGCUGGAUCCAGGUGCUCAAAAAGAUCAUCAUCUUGAAGGGAGCUAUGUGGCAAGAUUGGCAAGGGGGCCAUGGAAGGCUUUGGAAGGAGCUAAUAUUUGGGCUGAGACCCUGCAGGUGAGUAGUUGGUCCAGCAGGCAGAAAGUUGGGAUGGUGUUUCCCUGGCACAGGACUGGCCUGUGUGUGUGCAUGGAUGCCAGAGAACAUGCUCCAUGACAGCUGGGCUCUGAGCCAGCUGGAACAAGCAGAAGAAACGUGUGUGAGUGAACAGGCAGGCACGCCACACUCUGCCUCCCAGGCUAUAACAAGAAA